rnacentral:lncRNA from 1 species
UCCAGCUCACUCAGGACAAAAGGAGAAGGAAAGAGGUACAACCUUGCAGACGUGUCCGCUGCAGUGUGCAUGAGCCUUGGCCUGAUCUGGUUUACCCUUGCUGACAGCACAAUUGCACCAAACUUUAAUCUGACAGGUGAGGAAUGGACUUUUAUUCCUUAGUUGCAUUUUAUUUUGAAUAAGAGUUUGUAAAAUUUCUUGAAGAUUUUAAAUGAUGAGUCUCCCACUUAACGAGACUUUCAGACCUUCCCAAUUGUAGUAAAAGUAUCCCAGCUCUAGCAUUGUAACGCUGAGAGGCAUGACAGGAGGCUCCGGGUUACAUCAAUAGCUGUCAGAGACAUGAGGGUUGGCGUGUGUGUGCUGACCUGGACCUGCGCACAGACGUGUGAGGAAGUCACAAUAACAAUAUCAAUAGAACUGUUUGUGUGUGAUUUACAGUUUUCUCCGAUAUGUGCUAUGUUAACUUUUGUCAAUUAAAUUUAUAUUUUUCAAAAGCCAAAUAAGUAUCACAAUAUGUCCAGGGGUAAAAAUAAACAUUAGAAUCCUGUUUUUAUUUUAAUAAUCAUUCAGAUAAAUUGUUUGUGGGUAUGUGGGACAUUUAUUGUAUAUACAGUAUUUUCCUAAACUUACUAAAAGAGUUUUACUAAGAACACUAUUGUAAUACCAGCAAGCACAAUGUAUAAACUAAUUAUUUCUCUAAUAAAAAUAUUGGUUACAUUAGAUCUUC